rnacentral:lncRNA from 1 species
GGUGGGGCAGCGUGCACUGCGUCACAGCGCAGGGAGGACGGCGAUGUGAAGACGCUGGCGAGGGAAGCUCGGGCCACGUCGUCGUACUUAAGAUCCCUGCUUCUUUCUGAGAGGAAUCAAUUUUCAUUCUCUUUCUGCUGUGUGACGCCUGGGGACUGUGUGGUGUGGGGUGAGGGGUUGCCAGGGACGAAGGUUCUGACGCUACAGUCACUGCGGAAAGAUUCCAUUUCUUCUUGACCUGAGAGGAAUCCCGUUUUCUUAGUGAUGAGCCGUGCCGGCAGAAUGCCAAGGGGAGCUCCUCCGCAGGUUUCAGAACAAGCAGUAGAGGGGCAGAGGUCAAAAUUUUGUGUCUGCUCUGCUAGCACCUCACUUCCCAUGGAGGCAUGGCACACAAAAAGGAGGACACGUUGCGUAUUUCAGAGCAAAUGGCCCAGGGCGCAGCUGCCAGUGAAGGAUCCCAGAUUCUACCCAAAGGCCUGAAUACCAUCGUCUUCUGCCUGGAACUGAGUCAGUAAAAGGAAAUAGGAAGCCAAACAGCAGAAGGGCACACCCUGCUUACCAGAAACGCAUUACUAAAGAAGAAAUUCCGUGGUGUACCCUUUGGCUCCUGGCCCUUGGGUCCUGUCCUGCACCAUUGACAAGUUAAUAUGGUUCAACUACAUGAUGCCAAAUUGAAGAAGCCACUGAGGAAGCAACUCAGGAGCCCAUUUGCAUUAGCAGUUAAUAAUUCAGCCAAUGAGAGUUCAUGGCAGAGACCUGGGCCCUGGAAGAAGAUGGAGGAGCAAGUAUCAGGAGCCCAGACGGAGUGAGAAAAGUCAUAGGAGGAGGAGGCAAAGCCAGGCAAAAGCCAGAUCCUGGAAGUCACGGUUGGCUAGGCCAUCAAAUCAGAAGGUCAUAAGCAGUGGCCAGGCCCAGACGAGCUUGAGGAAUCUUGACCUUACACAAUAGUGGUAAAGAGUCAGCAGGUUCCAUGUGGGAGCCCACAAGUCCUGAGUCUGCAGUGAAGUGAACUUAUAUUAUCUGUUGGGGAGGAAAAUUCUCAAGUCUCUGUUCAAAUAGCCAGCAAUGUGACUUUAAAGAGUUUUAAGUGUAUUUAUGCCUGACAUAUUUCUGGAGUAAGCUUUGUUUCAUUUUGUUCCUGGGAAAUCUAAGUCCCCUCUUGCAGAGUUCAAUAAUUUGAAACUAAAAGUUUUAGAUGCAUUUUAAACAGCCACUUUCCCUCCCUACCCACUCAUUUACCAAAAUAAACAUGGCCACCCUGCCGCUGCGCUCUGAUUUGCAUAGCAGCCGAGCUGCUGCAGAUUCUCACACUGGGGCUAUUUCAGAGUUUGUGGAGAUGGCAAAGGGUUCCUUUCCUUAAAUAGUCUGGAGCAUGGUCCCCUUGGACGGCUGCUUUCGAAAACACUGUUACUGUAAAGUGAAAAUACUUGAGGAAAUAAAAUGCUAAUGAUAAAAGAAAAA